AGUUCGGAUUGCAGGCUGCAACCCGCCUGCAUGAAGCUGGAAUCGCUAGUAAUCGCGGAUCAGAAUGCCGCGGUGAAUACGUUCCCGGGUCUUGUACACACCGCCCGUCACACCAUGGGAGUCGGUAACGCCCGAAGUCAGUGACCCAACCGAGAGGAGGGAGCUGCCGAAGGCGGGACUGGUAACUGGGGUGAAGUCGUAACAAGGUACC
rnacentral:rRNA from 1 species